AAAUUGAAGAGUUUGAUCAUGGCUCAGAUUGAACGCUGGCGGCAGGCCUAACACAUGCAAGUCGAGCGGAAACGAGUUAUCAGAACCUUCGGGGGACGAUAACGGCGUCGAGCGGCGGACGGGUGAGUAAUGCCUAGGAAAUUGCCCUGAUGUGGGGGAUAACCAUUGGAAACGAUGGCUAAUACCGCAUGAUGCCUACGGGCCAAAGAGGGGGACCUUCGGGCCUCUCGCGUCAGGAUAUGCCUAGGUGGGAUUAGCUAGUUGGUGAGGUAAGGGCUCACCAAGGCGACGAUCCCUAGCUGGUCUGAGAGGAUGAUCAGCCACAC
rnacentral:rRNA from 1 species